rnacentral:rRNA from 1 species
ACGGGAGGCAGCAGUGGGGAAUAUUGCACAAUGGAGGAAACUCUGAUGCAGCAACGCCGCGUGAAGGAUGAAGGUCUUCGGAUUGUAAACUUCUGUCCUUGGGGAAGAUAAUGACGGUACCCUUGGAGGAAGCCCCGGCUAACUACGUGCCAGCAGCCGCGGUAAUACGUAGGGGGCAAGCGUUAUCCGGAAUUAUUGGGCGUAAAGAGUGCGUAGGUGGUUACCUAAGCAGGGGGUGAAGGGCACUGGCUUAACCAAUGUCAGCCCCCUGAACUGGGCUACUUGAGUGCAGGAGAGGAAAGCGGAACUCCAUGUGUAGCGGUGAAAUGCGUAGAUAUAUGGAAGAACACCAGUGGCGAAGGCGGCUUUCUGGACUGUUACUGACACUGAGGCACGAAAGCGUGGGGAGCAAACAGGAUUAGAUACCCUGGUA